AUGACCCAUUCUGCUUGUAUUAGGAAAAGACACUUACAGGGGCUGAAGCAUGAUUUCUGCAAUUGCUUUUCACGUUUUAUAUCUUUUUCUGCAACAUUUCCAAAAUUCUUCAUAAUAUCUUUAAAGUGCCUGAGGUACCCAAGAAACCUGUCCCAGAAGAGAAGAAACCUGUUCCUGUUCCCAAAAAGAAGGAAGCCCCACCAGCAAAAGUGCCUGAGAUUCCUAAGAAGCCUGAGGAGAAGGUUCCCGUGCCCAUUCCUAAGAAAGAGAAGGCUCCACCAGCUAAAGUCCCUGAGAUACCCAAGAAACCUGUACCAGAGGAGAAAGUGCCAGCACCAGUUCCCAAAAAGGAGGAAGCUCCACCUGCCAAAGUGCCGGAAGUGCCCAAGAAACCUGUGCCUGAGAAGAAGGUGCCGGUUCCUGCUCCUAAGAAAGUAGAGGCUCCACCAGCAAAAGGUACAUCGCUUCACCGUGUAAAGUCCAUGGGAAAAAAACCUUACAUUUACAUAUGCAUGCAUGCGUGCUCAGUCACUUUAGUUAGUCCAACCCUUUGCGACCCCAUAGACUGAAGCCCGCCAGGCUCCUCUGUCCAUGGGGAUUCUCCAGGCAAGAAUACUGGAGUGGGUUGUCAUGCCCUUCUCCAUGGAAUCUUCCCAACCCAGAGAUCGAACCCAAGUCUCCUGCAUUGCAGGCGAAUUCUUUAGCAUGAGCCACUGGGGAAGCCCAACAUUUAUAUAUAUAUAUAUUCAUAUAUAAACUCUCCCAUAACAUUAUGUGGUUUAAACAAUUAUCUGUCUUACUAGAAAUAUUAAAGUCAGAUAUUUCGUGAUUCCUUUUAUGUCUGUUGCUCUAACACAUGUAAAAGAACACAUUCUUAAAGAAAAAUAAUGUCUUUAAAGUGCCAGAGGUGCCCAAAAAGGUCCUCCCAGAAGAAAAGAAGCCAACACCUAUUCCGAAAAAAGUGGAGGCUCCUCCGCCCAAAGGUACAUUAAUCUCUAACAAACUCAAAACAAAAAGGCAAACUAACUGGCAUUCUACAGCCUCACUAAUUAUAAUGACUUAUGUUGGUAACAGUUGAUGCUUUUUGACUACAGAAUAUUAGCUUUUCAUGUUGUCCCACUGUUUU
rnacentral:lncRNA from 1 species